rnacentral:rRNA from 1 species
GAUGAACGCUGGCGGCGUGCCUAAUACAUGCAAGUCGAGCGAACGGACGAGAAGCUUGCUUCUCUGAUGUUAGCGGCGGACGGGCGAGUAACACGUGGAUAACCUACCUAUAAGACUGGGAUAACUUCGGGAAACCGUAGCUAAUACCGGAUAAUAUUUUGAACCGCAUGGUUCAAAAGUGAAAGACGGUCUUGCUGUCACUUAUAGAUGGAUCCGCGCUGCAUUAGCUAGUUGGUAAGGUAACGGCUCACCAAGGCAACGAUGCAUAGCCGACCUGAGAGGGUGAUCGGCCACACUGGAACUGAGACACGGUCCAGACUCCUACGGGAGGCAGCAGUAGGGAAUCUUCCGCAAUGGGCGAAAGCCUGACGGAGCAACGCCGCGUGAGUGAUGAAGGUCUUCGGAUCGUAAAACUCUGUUAUUAGGGAAGAACAUAUGUGUAAGUAACUGUGCACAUCUUGACGGUACCUAAUCAGAAAGCCACGGCUAACUACGUG